rnacentral:pre_miRNA from 1 species
GGGCGCGGGUCGUGGGGGCGCCACAGUCUAUUUGACAGUGGAUUUCCCAAGAUCCGUGAU